rnacentral:rRNA from 1 species
CACGUAGGGUGCGAGCGUUGUCCGGAAUUAUUGGGCGUAAAGAGCUCGUAGGCGGUGUGUCGCGUCGGCCGUGAAAACCUGCAGCUUAACCGUGGGCUUGCGGUCGAUACGGGCAUCACUGGAGUUCGGCAGGGGAGACUGGAAUUCCUGGUGUAGCGGUGAAAUGCGCAGAUAUCAGGAGGAACACCGGUGGCGAAGGCGGGUCUCUGGGCCUGUACUGACGCUGAGGAGCGAAAGCGUGGGGAGCGAACAGG